AUACUUACCUGGCAGGGGAGAUACCAUGAUCACGAAGGUAGUAUUCCCAGGGCGAGGCUUAUCCAUUGCACUCCGAUGUGCUGACCCCUGCGAUUUCCCCAAAUGUGGGAAACUCGGUGGUAGUGGGGGACUGCGUUCGCGCUUUCCCCUG
rnacentral:snRNA from 1 species